UACGUAGGAUGCAAGCGUUGUCCGGAAUUAUUGGGCGUAAAGAGCGCGCAGGCGGUAACUCAAGUCAGAUGUGAAAUAUCCGGGCUUAACCCGGAGGGGUCAUUUGAAACUGAGUAACUAGAGUACAGCAGAGGAUAGCGGAAUUCCCGGUGUAGUGGUGAAGUGCGUAGAUAUCUGGAGGAACACCGGUGGCGAAGGCGGCAUCCUGGACCGACACUGACGCUGAGGAGCGAAAGCCAGGGGAGCAAACGGG
rnacentral:rRNA from 1 species